rnacentral:misc_RNA from 1 species
UCAAGCAUUGCUUGGUCUUGGGUGCCCGCCCCCUGAACCCUUCAGGGAGCGCGCCCGAAAUCCAGUGGCGGUCCCGGUGGACUUCAAGCGCAGUAAACUUCGGUCCGCUUUUGAAGCCUUCUGCCGGUGGCCUUGCCAGCGAACCACUUUUUUACCCACUAAUUGACCUCGGAUCAGGUAGGGAUACCCGCUGAACUUAA